UGUCCACUUAACCUUCUCAUAGCCUAUCAGAAGUGAAAAAUAGGGGAAUCCCGCCUUUAAUUGAUGUUGAGUGACACCUCUCGCAUACGUGCACUGCGUGAUCAGCAGAGCAGUGAGACCGAAAAGGCAAAAGAUAUUUCGAAGGUUUAUCCCCACAGUUCAGCUACCGGGAGUCCGCUUGGAGUACCGUUUUCACAUUCUUUUAUUCUUGGAGACGCUGAUCCACCUCAGGGCUACGAACCCGGGACGAAGAGCAGCGACCCCUGAUCAGCAGGCCGGUCUCGGCGAAGCGUCCGUUUCCGCGCGCCUGCCAGCGACAGACCGAGAGCGCGUUCGGCGCUGAGAGCCGCGGAGAGCCAGACAACCCGGCAAUGUCAAGGGCCUCCACUUCCAGCAAAGUGUGGACCAGUGCUCUCCAACCCUGGUCCUGGAGAGCUACAGGGUCUGCUGGUUUUUGUUUUCACCUUAAAAUCAGCACCCAAUUGAGACCCAAGACACCAGGAUGAUGGACACAGAAGUGUGUUAAUUUUUAUCUCCUUUUACAGCUUUUUAAAAUUAUGUAAAAAAAUUUUAAAAUCAGGUCAAAUGUUCCUACAAGUGCAGCUAUAAUGGCUCCAUAUACAAUGCCCUCCAAAAGUAUGUCAAUGGUUGAGUGAUAUUUGUUUCUGUUUUUUUGCUAUAUAAAUGUAGGCGUUCAAGAGAUGUUCCAGGGUGUUCCACUAGUGUAAUAGCAGGAUUAGCUGGAUGAAGUAAGCCACAAAUAAUGUUUUUGUGUUCUGAACAAAUUUGUGCCACACAGGAAAAUAAUAUUUAAGAAAUAACUCAUGUUGAGCAAGCUAACUAGAGUGUGAUAUUUUGUUUUCAACUUUUCAUUCAAAUAAAGAGCUUUCUCUUUGAAUCUUGCAAUGCUACCGAUGUCUGUGUAAAUAUUAUGAUUAAUAAACAACACAAAUGUCAGACACUGAAAGACG